rnacentral:rRNA from 1 species
CCUACGGGUGGCUGCAGUCGAGAAUCUUCGGCAAUGAGCGCAAGCUUGACCGAGCGACGCCGCGUGCGGGAUGAAGGCCUUCGGGUUGUAAACCGCUUUCAGUGGGGAGGCCUAUCUUCAGAAGAAGGACGGGCUAAGUUCGUGCCAGCAGCCGCGGUAAUACGAACCGUCCAAACGUUAUUCGGAUUCAUUGGGCUUAAAGGGUACGUAGGCGGCGCUAUCAGUCGGGUGUGAAAGCCCUCGGCUCAACCGAGGAACUGCGCCCGAUACUGUAGUGCUUGAGGGAGACAGAGGUAAGCGGAACUGAUGGUGGAGCGGUGAAAUGCGUUGAUAUCAUCAGGAACACCGGUGGCGAAAGCGGCUUACUGGUCCUUCUGACGCUGAGGUACGAAAGCUAGGGGAGGAACGGGAUUAGAUACCCUUGUAGUC